UCCGCCACAUCCAACACCACCCCCCACACACAUACGCAACACACAUGUACUCCCCCACCCUUCCCCACGUAAAUCUCUCUUCAUUUGACUUUUAUAUUUCACCUGUUUGACUUUGGAACGCAGUGUUGGGGGUUAAUGAUGUGUGAAGGAGGAGCUGCCUCAAGUACAGUCUAGGAAUGGCUCUACCGUUUCCGAGUCUCACCACCUGCCAGACCAAGCCUUCAGCCUGCGAGUUCACUGCUGUCACGAACAUUAUCCAGAUAAGGAAAGGGAGGUGCAGAAGGGCAGGGUGACCUGCCCAAGGUCACACAGGAUAUGAACUCUGGUCCAUCUCGCUCUGAAACUUGCGCUCUUCGUCUUUCAGCCAUCGUCUCCCAGAUGUGUUUUUGUCUCACCUUCACCUGCCACGUCUGCCUUAGCGUUUUGCAAUGUCUGCCAACCCCUGGGAUUACUAUUUACUCAACAUGCGUUUUGGCAAAUGGAAUCAUGUUUGAAAACUUAAAUACAUUUGAUUUUCUAUUUCUAGCAAGAAAUGGUAUAACACUACCAAAAGUGAGAAACAACAUCACUUCCCAUAAGCAGGAGGUGACCUCACGACUAUAGUGAUGAUAACGAUGGCUCUAAUCAAACUUAAUGAGCACUUAAGCACCCUUGGCUUCUAUUGACCCAUUUCACCCCACACUGAUGCCUGGAGGUGGGCGAUGUUCUAUCCUCAUCUGGACAAUGAUGUUUGGAUAAGCCCCUUCACAGAGGCAAAAGACUUUUCCUAAAGUCACAGUGGAAACAACAGAAGCACGUUGCUGGACUCUGGCUAGCAAUGUUGCCUGCUUGAGGUGCCUGGCGAGAAGGGCCCCAGUGGUUGGAGAGGUGUGGAUGACAUGCCAGCAUUCCAGCGAGCCUUUCACACUGGAAGAAAGAGUAGGAAGGCCAAUCACUUUCUCAUAUCCACCCAUGGUGUGGGAGCAGCCCUGCUUCUGGAAAACCCGGCACCAAGCUAUCUAUCCUGCACCAAGAAAUGCUUUGGAGCUCUUUCUGAGUGUGUGUGAGCCAGAUGUCAAAUCUCUUACUGUGUGGGCGUUACUACCACCUAAGUAGCUGAGAUAAAUACAGCCCAUGGUUAACAUAGGUUAGCAUAAGGGAAGCCAUCUUGUAGAAAGAGGCUAUGUUGGAACUGUAAAUGACCCUGAUCCACCAGACACCUCCCUGACUUGUCAGUAAUGCUCUAGUUUGCACAUAGCCUAGAUGAGUAAACACCUGCUUGUGAGAAAUAUGCAUGCUCUGCUAUGUCCAUAGCCCUGGCUUACACAUUAACCUCCCUAUUGUGACAAGGCGAUAACUUUGUUCUUGAAGUUUUCUCAGGAAUUUAACCACCUCCGGGAAAGAGCCCUAUGCUGAGAUCCAUCACUGGUGACAGGAGAAAGAGAUGAUCUGGUGUCUCAAGGUCUACUAUACCAGCUGUGAGUAGAAGACCCCUUUUGGUGGUAACAAAUUUGGCAGCUCAGAUGGCACUAUAAGUCCUGCUCGUGGGCCAGUCAACCUCAAACAGGCAGCCUGAUGGAUAAGUCUCUAGCAGCUGCCGAGGCCCUUUUGUCUCAGAGAUUUGGCUUUCCUGCUUUCCAAUACCGAUGCCUGCUGCCUCCUAUGCUGACUGUGGUAAAGAGAGAAACAGCUACGUCUGGCAAGUCCAGAGGCUCAAUCAGGAAUAAGGACGGCUAGACAUGCAAGUCCCUCUGGAACAAUCUCUAAGAUUACAGAUGGCCUUGAUGGGAAUCUCUGAAUCGGAGCCAGAACUAUUACCACCUGAAAUCUUCAAGGAGGUAAGGCCUAAGGUAAGUGGGACCCCAGGCAAGGCAAAGAAUGCCCAGCCAAUACAAAUACCAUUAAAGGAAAAGACAGCCAAGCCUAAUUUAAAACAGUACCUGCUGAAACAAGAAGCCCAAAGAGGCAUACGACCCAUUUUUAGAAAUUCCUGGAGACAAGACUGAUUAGGCCCCAUCAGUCUCCAUAUAAUACACCUAUUCUCCCAGUGAAAAAACCUAACGCCAAUGAGUACCGCUUUGUCCAGGACCUACAUGUCAUAAAUGAAGUGGUUCAGGACUUACACCCUGUGGUACCUAGCCCUUAUAUUAUAUUGACAAAUAUACCUGGAGAAUAUGGUUGGUUUUCAGUUUUAGACUUAAAGGAUGCAUUCUUCUGUGUACUAUUGGCUAAGAAAGCCCAAUAACUGUUUGCUUUUGAAUGGCAUGAUCCUGAUAGUAAGACAACACAGCAAUAUCGUCAGACUGUCCUUCCCCAGGGCUUCAAAAAUUCCCCCACUUUAUUCAGGGAAACCUGGCUAAAGAUUCAAGUCAUUUAAAACUGAAGGAUGGACUACUGUUACAACGUGUGGAUGACCUGCUGGUAGCGAGCCCCUCUUAGGAACUAUGUUUAACAAAUACCAUCAAAACUCUAAGUCACCUGGCUGAAUGCAGAUAUAAAGUCUCCCAAAGGAAAGCUCAAAUCUGUAAACAAAAGCUCACUUAUUUGGGGUUCUUUAGUUCUAAAGGGCAAAGGGAAUUAUUGCCCAACCAGAAAAAGGCAAUUGCCUGCCUGGGCCCUCUCAAAACCCCCCGACAAUUGCGAGGGUUUCUGGAAUGGUUGGCUUCUGUUGGAUAUGGAUUCCUAAUUAUGGACUUAUUAGUAAAACCUCUGUAUGAAGCCCUAAAAGGCUCAAAACCUCUGGACUGGACUAAAGAAUGUCAAUUGGCAUUUGACACCAUCAUAACUAAACUGGUAACAGCCCCAGCUUUAGGUCUGCUAGACCUAGAAAAACCUUUUAAUCUUUACGUGCAUGAGAGGCUGGGCAUAAGCCUAGUGGUGCUAACCCAACAGCUAGGGACCCUUCCGAGACCUGUGACCUAUUUCUCCAAACAAUUAGAUCAAACGGUAAAAGGCUGGCCUCCCUGUCUCAGAGCCGUCGCUGCUACUUGUGACAUCCUGCAAAAGCCUGAGAAAGUCACUCUAGACCAACCCACCACUGUCUAUGUACCCCACCUGUCCUCACCUUACUGGAACAGAAGGGAGGAAAUUGGCUCAUGUCAGGCAGAAUGGGCAAACAUCAGGCCAUCAUGCUAGAUAACCCAAAUGUCAGGUUGCAAGUCUCUUCAAUCCAGAAUCCGGCCACCUUACUCCCCAACGAAACUUCACAAGCAACAGGCCAUAACUGUUUACAAGUCAUAGAAAUGGUUUAUUCCAGCCAACCAGACCUAAAAGAUCGACCAUUUGAGGACCCUGAACUGGAGCUGUUCACAGACAGCAGCAGCUUCCUGGAUCGGGGUAAGAGAUGCACCAGAUGUGCAGCUGUGACUUUACGAGAGACUUUAGAAGCUGCAGCCCCGCCUCCAGGAGCCUCAACUCAAAAGGCAGAAAUCAUAGCCCUAGCCCGAGCCUUACAACUAUCUUGGGGAAAAAGGUGACUGCUUAUACAGAUUCCGGUUAUGCAUCUUCAGUGGUCCAUGCCCACAGGGUGAUCUGGAAAGAAAGGGGACUCUUAGCUGCUGACAAAAAGAAAUUAAACAUGCUACAGAAAUAUUACAGUUAUUAGAGACCUUUAAUGAGCCUUCACAAGUGGCCAUAAUACACUGCCCUGGUCACCAAAAGGGCGAAGCCUCUAUCGCUAAAGGAAACGGGCUGGCCGCUCAAGCAGCCAAGAAAACAGCCAGAACAAAAGGCUAUGCCAUAACUGGCCCUUUGCUUCCUCAAAUAAACUUGUCUGAGUAUCAGCCAACUUACUCAGAAAGGGACUCAGAAUGUGCAAGAGACUGAGGUUUCCUCUCAGACCCGCAGACAGGCUGGAAGAUGAACGACCAAGGAAGAAUUCUUGUGCCUGAGGCUCUCCUCUACCCGCUCCUAAAACGGGUGCAUGAGAGCACUCAUUAUGGGAGAGACGAUACUUUACACUGGGCUCAAAAAUGUAUUGUGGGACCUAAUUUUAAAAAGACUGUGCAACAAGUAACUAAGAGUUGCAUGAUUUGUGCAAAAGAUUACCCCAAAACUGCUCCAGGGCCUCCACAAUGAGGAGUCUGACACACAGGGGAAUGGCCGACGGAAGACUGGCAGAUGGGCUUCACCCGAACGCCCCGCGCUGCUGGAGAUUACCGAUUCUUCCUGGUACUGGUGGAUACGUUUUCUGGGUGGGUGGAGGCUUUCCCCACCUGGUCGGAGAAGGCUGCUGAAGUCAUCCAGGUUCUGUUAAAGGAGAUCAUUCCCAGAUUUGGCCUGCCUAAUACCACACAGGGUGACAAUGGACCUGCUUUCGUGUUUCAAGUCACUCAGCAGGUUUCCAAGACAUUAAAUAUUAGAUGGACGCUACAUUCAGCCUGGAGACCCCAGUCUACAGGAAAAACAGAAAAGAUGAACUCUAAAAAAGAACAUUGCUAAAAUCCGUCAAGAACCUCAUCUCACCUGGGACAGAGCAUGGCUGUUGCCCUGCUGCAGAUUAGGGUGGCUCCCUGAAGUGGGCUUAAAUUGAGUUCUUUUGAAAUUUUAUACACUCUCAGGAUUUUCUUUUUCAGGUGAAUCACCUGAAGCUCUAACAGAUGUUGCAGUCACAGCUUCUGUCAAAUCCUUAAGUGCUGUACUGACUUCUUUUCAUGAGUUUGCCUCUAACAGGGCAGCUUACCCAUCUGAUGUGCCCCUCCAUCCUUUCCAUCCUGGUGGCCAAGUACUGCUGAAGACCUGGAAGGAACAAGGACCUGAAAACCAGCUAGCUGGAAAGAUAAAAGUCUCAUAAGAGAAAUGGAACCUUAAAAAAGAACUGAGUGGAAAUCUUAGAAUGUAAAGAUAAAAAUAAAUUCAGUGGAUAGGCUCAACAACACAAUGGAGUUGGAAGAGGAAGUGGUCAAUUAACUUGCAGAUAAAUCGACAGAAAUGAUCAAAAAUGAUAGAAAAGAAAAAAAGGCUGAAAGAAAUGAGCACAGACUCAGAGUUUGUGGGACUAUAACAAAAGGUCUACAUUCAUAUGAUCAAAGUCCCAAAAAUAAGAGGAGAGAGAAGGUGCAGAAAGUAAAUUUGAAGAAAUGAUGGUAACAAUCUCCAAAGGAGUCUCGCUUUCAGGAUGGCAGCAUGAGGGACUCAGGGGGCCCAUUCUCCAGUGAAACAAAUGUAACUGGUGAAAACUACAAAAAGCCCAGACUUCCACUUUCAGCUUUGACAUGUAAAGAGCUUGGAAGCUGUCACUCCUAUCCUCACAGCAAGAAAAGAGCUCGACAAACUGAAAAUCAACAACUCUCUCAGUUUUGUCAGAGAAGUGAGGUCCUAGGGCAAGCUGCCAUCCUGAAAUCUGGAGAGAUAGAUGAACACAUAGAAUUACAGGCAAGAUCAGCUUACCUGAAGGUGAGGCUGCUGAAGCCAGUAACUGAGAGGGACCCUUCAAAGAUCAUUAUGACAAAUGUCUGAAAACUGAAUGUGGACUAGCUUGAGAAUUAAAAACUCCUGGAGACCCAGUCUUAAGGUCUGUCUACCAUUUUGUCAGAAAUCCUCAGGGAAAAGGCUAUUCAGAUUGACUGGGUGAGAUCUGAGUCAGGUCAAGUAAAGACAGUCUUGAGAAUGGGGUCUUCCAGGGAACUAACAGGCAGGUCAAAUAAUGACCAUUCUCUGGGAAUGAGGCUUUGAAUUUGUCCUGACCCCCUUCUGCCUCCCCCCAGUGGCUGCCAGGCUACUGAUUUUCACCAAGAUUGUGGGCUUUUGGUUUUCAAGUCUACUGUGGAGCUGCAGAGUGGGAGAUGGGACUAGGGUAAGCUAAAUGCCACAAAGCUCACUGUUCUCACCAAGAUUCAGCAACUUUAUUGGAUAAACACCCCCUAGAUUGCUGCAAGCCUCUGGUUAAUUUCAAGAGUUCUGAAAAAUUUGGUUCUGACAUUUUUUUUUCCACACCAGUUUUCUCAUUGCUUUUAUGUAGGAGAGGAUUUCUGAGGUCUUUCGUCUACCAUUGUCACUGAUACCCUACGAGAGUUUUUAGAAUGUGAAAGUAUUGUCACUAUUGAAGAGCCAAAAAUGUGUUAUGAUCAACCUGGCCACCUGCCAGACUGUUUUACAUCCAGGGGAGUCUUAGACUAGUUAGUUAGGAGUUGAAGUUGUUAGGGGAGGGGAAAGAAGUCCAGGGGAACAGUAGGAAUAUACUAUCCAGAGAUCUGCAGUAGCUGUGUGUCCAGACGGGAAUGAAGUUUGAUGUCACCAUCAGAGGCCAGCGGUACCAGUGCUGAUGGUCCCAGGUGUAUGUGCCUGUUUUUAUCCACUUUGCUUCUUGGGACCUCAGUCAUGGGGGCCUCUCAGUAGUCCUGACCUAAUGCCUGCCCAGAAAGGACAUGAAGGUAAAUAGUUCCUGAAUCCUCCCUAUGCCCAAUCAGUCCUGAUUGUUGGUUUCCAGUCUGGAAAUUCCUUCUGUGCUUCAGGUCACUGCUGAGGUGACAUUCACAAUGAUCAUUCAUCUGCUUAUGGGAUUUUACUGCUCAUCCUCAGCUCAAAGAUCUUCUGCUUCUGUGGGCCUGGAUGAUGCUUCCUCUCUUAGGUCCUCACCUGAAGACACAAGCUUGUUUCCUACAACAAGCCUUCUGGCAGUUCUGAACUAUGGGACUGUCUUCCUUUGGUGCCAUGUUGGUUGGUGGCAACAGUAGGUAGAGAGUGAUGGCUCUGGGCCUGAUGACAGAUGUUUGGCAGUGGUUGAGAAACACCAACCUGAAUCUGCUUUCUCGAAAGGUCAUUGUAGUCUCCCAAAGGGCAAGGGACACAGUUUUCUGUGAGUUCUGGGAUGUUUCGGUCCUUGAUUGGCCUUUUUGUCACUCUGACCUUGUGCAAGUCAUUCUCAUACCCCAAGGCCUCAGUCUCCUCAUCUGUCGAGUGAAAGGGUUGGGCUGGUCCUCUAAGGACCUCAAACAAUGAUAGUGUAUUUAUUUUUUCUUCGAGGGGACAACCUUCCCCAGCCCUGUUCUUCUUCUUUCUUGCAUCCAAUUUUUCAUAUAUCUUAUCUGCAUUCACAAUCUCAACUUCCUUACAUCCAUUCCUCUUCUCAGUUCCUUAAAAUAAGACUUCUUCCAAAAAUAUGACUCUCAUCCAGGGCAUCGAUAAUCUUUUUAUUUACAACUCCAAUGACCCUUGUCUAUGCCUAUGUGUCUCAAGCCUUUAGCAAUGAACACUUUGGACCACUUUGUCCUUCCUUCUACACUUCCGUGUUGUCAUCUUUAUCAUCCUCUUGCUGAGAACAGAAAAGAGGUCAGUACAACUGGAUGCUUGUAAGCGAAAGCAGAGCAGUAGAUGACUUGUGUAUCCAUCAGCUUCCUGGACGUCUUCCUCGGGGUCUCCCAGGCAAUUCCACGCAGAGUGGCCACAGCUAAAGGUGUAAACUUUCUGCUGCAACCAAGUCCUCCUUCUACAUUUCCAGUUACCUUUGGGGUCACCAACCUGAGACAUGGAUAGGAGCCUCAGCUGCUCCUUCACUCUUCCAGGUUCAUCUCCUGAACCUCUCUCAAAUCUGCCAUUUUCACUUCUUGUGCGGUAUGUCAUCAUCUCUGCCUUGAGUGUUACUUCUGCCCCCAACCCUCUGUCCACCAUUCCUAUGGACACCAGAACAGUCAGCCUGAAAUCCACACUCAUCUGGACAUCUCCCUGUCCUGCUUAAGACCAUUAAGGUCUCCAGUGUAAGGUCCAAACUCUGUUCUAUGGCUUGAACCACCCAGGCCAGGGAUUUUUCCAACCUAUUAGCCCUCAAGUGAUGGUUAAGAAUGACAGGGCUCCCUGUGCAGGGGAAGAGCAAUUUUAUUUGGUGAGGAACACAGAAUAUAACACAUACCUAGUGGGAAAGGAGGGGGAGCAGUUUCCUGGGAGAGAACGCUGCUCUGGUCCUCAAACAGCAGCCAUGUCAUUGUGCUGAACAUGGGACAACCUUUUGUGAGCCCUCAGAAUUGGGCACGGAAGGGUUGAACAGCAAGAAAUGGUUCCAUUGGGAGAAGACCCCAAUCAGAACGGAGACCAAAGGUCACUGACUCUUGUUGGUAGUGGCCCAUCAUCAAACCCGCCCUCCAGAUGGAGGGGAGGAGGCUAAGACUCUGGGGAUAAGGGUCUUGUCUCAGCUACAAGGGUAGCCCAGACCUGGGAUCAGGGGCCUCCUUGUACAUGUAUUUCAGUGAAUGUGUGUCUGUGUAUCCACAUGUACUUGUGUGUGGUGAUGAGUCUGAGAGUGCUGGUGUGAGAGUGUGCCUCUAUAUGUCUGUCUGAGUGACAACAUGUUUGUCUGGGCAUGUGUGUAUAUCCGUGACCAUCUGUGUUUCUCUUUGUAGCUAUGACGCAGUGCAACCUGUGUCUCUCCAUCUCUGUCAGCAUUUCUGUGGACGUCUCUGUGCAUCUCUGUGUGUGUCUAUGUGGCUCUUUGUUUCUCUCUUGAGAUGUCACUCUCCCAAACCCCGUAAUGCCCCCAAAUGGGAGCAGCUCCAAAAUCCUGGGGAGUGGGCAGCAGCACUCACCAGCUCAGCAGAGGCCGGUCCCUUCCUGGAAAGCCUAGACUUUGAUGGGAAAAUCCAGCCCACAGACCAUCUUGUCUGGAAAAUGGAAAAACAACAACAACCACAGACCAGAGUGAUGGUGUCAGUGUGAAGGAGUCCAGGGAUACCUCAUGGUCCCCUGAGGCCUGGGGCCAGGGAAUGGGAACUCUGGAGAUCCGUCCAAGCCCAUGCAGGGGGCCUUGCAUCCUCCACCAACCAGCCCAGCUGUUCUCAGGGUCAGGGAUGAGGGAGGAGACAGGGUCUAUACCUCAACAUUAUCUGGAUAAUUCAAGUCAUAAAAGAAACUCAAACUGAGGAGAGUUGAGGCUGGAGGGAGCUAGCAUCCUAUGGUGUGCAGGGGCAGAGCUCCUCAGGGGAAAUCACUGCUCCUGUGGAGGGGAAGCCAGGGCUUACCCACAGUGGCCUCGACCAGCCUGGUGUCCAAGAUUCUGGGAACCUCUGUGAGCAGAGGGCACCUGACCCAGGGGCGGAGAGGGGAGUUAGGCAAAGUGGCACUGUAGGGGGACCCUGGGAGCAGCAGCAUCCCCAGGAUGGAUUAUCUGGGGAGAUUUUCUAUCAUUUCUCUGUGUCUGAGAGUGUUUGAUUCUCAGAAACGCCACAUCCACACUGGGCAGAGGAGAAACUGAAGGCUUGUGUGUGAAGUGCCAUCACACAAGGAGCCAUUGUUCGCUCUGUGACGUGACAUCUGUUUCUAAACAGGGUGGGCUGCUCUGGGAGGGGUAAGUUUCUGGUUAUAGGAGGCACUCAAGUAUGGGCUGGAAGAGUGCUCGUCUGUGCCAUAGGUGGCUGGACUUGGAGCUUCUCAGGGCAGGGGUCAGUCCUUUUCAGCUGCAGUGUGGACAAGCAGUGGGCCUGGUCCAGAGCAGGAACAAAGCAAUGCAUUUUGAAAGAUGGAAAGAAGAAACACGCACAGAUGGGUGAAUGGAGAGAUAGACUGAUGGAAGGAAUUUACUUAUCAAGCUGAGGAGCUCAGAAAAGCUCACCCCAGGGGCCUCUUUCAGCCUGAUAAGCUCUAAGAGCCAAGGAUCAGGAGCCCCCACUUCUACCCACUUACCUUGUCCUGCACCAGCCCAGGAAGGAUCUUGCUGAGUCUUUCGGAGAGGCAACGAAAGGGGACGGGGACCCAUCUGAAAGGGAAAAGCCAUGGGGAGAUGCAGAGGCCUGGGGCUGGUAUGGAGAAGGCUUCAGAGGGGCCACUGUGCCCAUGGCAGUCUCAGCACCAAGUAACUGAGAAUGGGCCUUGUCCAUCCACACCCGCAUGCCAGCAAACACCAAGGGGCCUAUCCAAAGGGAGUCACAUCCUACCCAGCAGUGCACACAGUAGGUGUGUGUAGAAUAAACACAUAGUUCCAGUACACAGUAGGUGUUCAAUGAGACUUGUAGAAUCCAUAAAUGGAUGCACAGUGCAUAGUAUGUAGUUGUCAUGAAGAUUCAAUGAGAUGAUGCAUGUGAAGCACAGUAUAUGUGUUCAGUAAGUGUGAGCCACGAUGAUGAUGACUCCUGCAUAUUAUACAGGAGUCAGUCUCCCUUGAGACAAUAACUGGAAUCAGUAACCAGUUAAUUCCAGAGUAAUUUUACCCCUUACUGGGACAAAGCACAUUCACACCGAUUAUCUUAGUGCAUUCUGUCAACAACCCCGAUGUGGCUCCAUAUUACAGUUAUCUGAGGAAGCUGAGACUCAAGUUGGGAAGCGGUGUCCAAGUUCACACAGGAAGCCCUCCACCUCUCUCCAUGCCCCUCUGGUAGGUGGAACUUGAACUCAGAUUUCUUGUUGCCUAAUCCAGCAGAAAAUUGGUCAGUCCAGCCUCAGAAGGGAUAAGUGACUAUUUACCCAUCCACUUACCUUCUCAUCUACCCCUCUAUCCUCCCAUCCAUCCAUCUUCCCUCCCUCCUAUCCAUCUUCCCACUCUUCCACCCUCCCACUCAUCCAUUCUCCCAUUGUUCCAUCUUCCCAACCAUCCAAAGUCCCAUCCUAUUUUGUCUGGGCAGGAGAAGCCACCUCUCUGGCCUCAACUAUCAGGCAGGGAGAUUUGCGGGCUGCCAGCGGAGUGAGUGCAGCUGCCAAGGACCAGUUGGAUGUUAUGCUGUUUGUCUGUCAAAGAUGGAGAAACCAAGCACAGAGAGACUGAGUGCCUUGUCCCAGGUCACCCAGCAAGUACAUGGUGAAUUUAGAAAUCAAACUCAAGGC